rnacentral:rRNA from 1 species
GACGAACGCUGGUGGCGUGCCUAAUACAUGCAAGUAGAACGCAGUUGCGAACGGGUGAGUAACGCGUAGGUAACUGCCUCAUAGCGGGGGAUAACUAUUGGAAACGCUAGCUAAUACCGCAUACUUUGAGAUGUACCUGCGUUGUAUUAGCUAGUUGGUGAUGUAAAGGCUCACCAAGGCGACGAUACAUAGCCGACCUGAGAGGGUGAUAGGCCACACUGGGACUGAGACACGGUCCAGACUCCUACGGGAGGCAGCAGUGGGGAAUAUGGCACAAUGGGCGCAAGCCUGAUGCAGCCAUGCCGCGUGUGUGAAGAAGGCCUUCGGGUUGUAAAGCACUUUCAGCGGGGAGCGUUACCCCCAGAAGAAGCACCGGCUAACUCCGUGCCAGCAGCCGCGGUAAUAC